AAUGCGAUUGCUUAAUACUUUUCGUCAGGCUAGAGACCAAAGCUACUUUCUCACAUAAAAACCUCUCCAGGCAAUAUUAACUUAUUCAGCGUACCACUAAAAAGCCACUUAAUAUAGACCAAGCAAGCAAUCCCACAAUACCCCAGCAGAAAGGUCUCCCAAUCGCAAGAAUCGCAGUAAGGGAAAUCCAGUGAGCUGUGCUAAUAUAUCAAAGUGUUGGAGGAUGGACGUUAUUUGGUGCCAGCGUAUAGCCACAGUAAAAUACCUUAUUGGAGUAAACGGGAACGGCUGAGAUGGAUGAAGGGUCAGUAAUACGUCGUCGUUUCGGAGGCCACGACGUAUCUCUGGGCUACGUUGAGAGGCGGCGAGUAACCAUCUGCAUAAGAGGUGUCUUCAAACAGCACUGAAUAGUCGUCCUGGGGCUGCAAUUAAAAAUGUGCUGCUUAAAAACA